AUAAUCGGUACGGGUUGUGAGAGCAAGAGCCCGGAGAUGGAUUCUGAGACACGAAUCCAGGUCCUACGGGGCGCAGCAGGCGCGAAAACUUUACACUGCGCGAAAGCGCGAUAAGGGGACCUCGAGUGCGUGCGCAAUGCGUACGCUUUUCAGAUGCCUAAAAAGCAUGUGGAAUAAGGGCCGGGCAAGACCGGUGCCAGCCGCCGCGGUAACACCGGCGGCUCAAGUGGUGGCCGCUAUUAUUGGGCUUAAAGGGUCCGUAGCCGGACCAGUUAGUCCCUUGGGAAAUCUUACGGCUUAACCGUAAGGCUGCCAAUGGAUACUGCUGGUCUUGGGACCGGGAGAGGUAAGAGGUACCUCAGGGGUAGGAGUGAAAUCCUGUAAUCCUUGAGGGACCGCCAGUGGCGAAGGCGUCUUACUAGAACGGGUCCGACGGUGAGGGACGAAAGCUAGGGGCACGAACCGGAUUAGAUACCCGGGUAGUCCUAGCCGUAAACGAUGCGAGCUAGGUGUCACGUGGAUUGCGAAUCCAUGUGGUGCCGAAGGGAAACCGUGAAGCUCGCCGCCUGGGAAGUACGGCCGCAAGGCUGAAACUUAAAGGAAUUGGCGGGGGAGCAC
rnacentral:rRNA from 1 species